rnacentral:rRNA from 1 species
AACGUAGGAGACAAACGUUAUCCGGAAUGAUUGGGCGUAAAGCGUCCGCAGGUGGCUAUGUAAGUCUGCUGUUAAAGAGUGAGGCUCAACCUCAUAAAAGCAGUGGAAACUACAUGGCUAGAGUGCGUUCGGGGCAGAGGGAAUUCCUGGUGUAGCGGUGAAAUGCGUAGAUAUCAGGAAGAACACCGGUGGCGAAAGCGCUCUGCUAGGCCGCAACUGACACUGAGGGACGAAAGCUAGGGGAGCGAAUGGG